AUUGAACGCUGGCGGCAGGCCUAACACAUGCAAGUCGAGCGGAUGAAGGGAGCUUGCUCCUGGAUUCAGCGGCGGACGGGUGAGUAAUGCCUAGGAAUCUGCCUGGUCGUGGGGGAUAACGUCCGGAAACGGGCGCUAAUACCGCAUACGUCCUGAGGGAGAAAGUGGGGGAUCUUCGGACCUCACGCUAUCAGAUGAGCCUAGGUCGGAUUAGCUAGUUGGUGGGGUAAAGGCCUACCAAGGCGACGAUCCGUAACUGGUCUGAGAGGAUGAUCAGUCACACUGGAACUGAGACACGGUCCAGACUCCUACGGGAGGCAGCAGUGGGGAAUAUUGGACAAUGGGCGAAAGCCUGAUCCAGCAAUGCCGCGUGUGUGAAGAAGGUCUUCGGAUUGUAAAGCACUUUAAGUUGGGAGGAAGGGCAGUAAGUUAAUACCUUGCUGUUUUGACGUUACCAACAGAAUAAGCACCGGCUAACUUCGUG
rnacentral:rRNA from 1 species